ensembl:miRNA
AAGAACUGGACAAAAUUAAAAUGCUCUUCUGUCAUUGUAAUAGUUCAUAUGGGCACUGACAGGAGAGCAUUUUAACUUUGUCAAGUGUGUCUGCU